rnacentral:rRNA from 1 species
GGGUUGUGAGGUUAAGCGACUAAGCGUACACGGUGGAUGCCCUGGCAGUCAGAGGCGAUGAAGGACGUGCUAAUCUGCGAUAAGCGUCGGUAAGGUGAUAUGAACCGUUAUAACCGGCGAUUUCCGAAUGGGGAAACCCAGUGUGUUUCGACACACUAUCAUUAACUGAAUCCAUAGGUUAAUGAGGCGAACCGGGGGAACUGAAACAUCUAAGUACCCCGAGGAAAAGAAAUCAACCGAGAUUCCCCCAGUAGCGGCGAGCGAACGGGGAGCAGCCCAGAGCCUGAAUCAGUAUGUGUGUUAGUGGAAGCGUCUGGAAAGGCGCGCGAUACAGGGUGACAGCCCCGUACACAAAAAUGCACAUAUUGUGAGCUCGAUGAGUAGGGCGGGACACGUGGUAUCCUGUCUGAAUAUGGGGGGACCAUCCUCCAAGGCUAAAUACUCCUGACUGACCGAUAGUGAACCAGUACCGUGAGGGAAAGGCGAAAAGAACCCCGGCGAGGGGAGUGAAAAAGAACCUGAAACCGUGUACGUACAAGCAGUGGGAGCACGCUUAGGCGUGUGACUGCGUACCUUUUGUAUAAUGGGUCAGCGACUUAUAUUCUGUAGCAAGGUUAACCGAAUAGGGGAGCCGAAGGGAAACCGAGUCUUAACUGGGCGUUAAGUUGCAGGGUAUAGACCCGAAACCCGGUGAUCUAGCCAUGGGCAGGUUGAAGGUUGGGUAACACUAACUGGAGGACCGAACCGACUAAUGUUGAAAAAUUAGCGGAUGACUUGUGGCUGGGGGUGAAAGGCCAAUCAAACCGGGAGAUAGCUGGUUCUCCCCGAAAGCUAUUUAGGUAGCGCCUCGUGAAUUCAUCUCCGGGGGUAGAGCACUGUUUCGGCAAGGGGGUCAUCCCGACUUACCAACCCGAUGCAAACUGCGAAUACCGGAGAAUGUUAUCACGGGAGACACACGGCGGGUGCUAACGUCCGUCGUGAAGAGGGAAACAACCCAGACCGCCAGCUAAGGUCCCAAAGUCAUGGUUAAGUGGGAAACGAUGUGGGAAGGCCCAGACAGCCAGGAUGUUGGCUUAGAAGCAGCCAUCAUUUAAAGAAAGCGUAAUAGCUCACUGGUCGAGUCGGCCUGCGCGGAAGAUGUAACGGGGCUAAACCAUGCACCGAAGCUGCGGCAGCGACGCUGAUGCGUUGUUGGGUAGGGGAGCGUUCUGUAAGCCUGUGAAGGUGUGCUGUGAGGCAUGCUGGAGGUAUCAGAAGUGCGAAUGCUGACAUAAGUAACGAUAAAGCGGGUGAAAAGCCCGCUCGCCGGAAGACCAAGGGUUCCUGUCCAACGUUAAUCGGGGCAGGGUGAGUCGACCCCUAAGGCGAGGCCGAAAGGCGUAGUCGAUGGGAAACAGGUUAAUAUUCCUGUACUUGGUGUUACUGCGAAGGGGGGACGGAGAAGGCUAUGUUGGCCGGGCGACGGUUGUCCCGGUUUAAGCGUGUAGGCUGGUUUUCCAGGCAAAUCCGGAAAAUCAAGGCUGAGGCGUGAUGACGAGGCACUACGGUGCUGAAGCAACAAAUGCCCUGCUUCCAGGAAAAGCCUCUAAGCAUCAGGUAACAUCAAAUCGUACCCCAAACCGACACAGGUGGUCAGGUAGAGAAUACCAAGGCGCUUGAGAGAACUCGGGUGAAGGAACUAGGCAAAAUGGUGCCGUAACUUCGGGAGAAGGCACGCUGAUAUGUAGGUGAAGUCCCUCGCGGAUGGAGCUGAAAUCAGUCGAAGAUACCAGCUGGCUGCAACUGUUUAUUAAAAACACAGCACUGUGCAAACACGAAAGUGGACGUAUACGGUGUGACGCCUGCCCGGUGCCGGAAGGUUAAUUGAUGGGGUUAGCCGCAAGGCGAAGCUCUUGAUCGAAGCCCCGGUAAACGGCGGCCGUAACUAUAACGGUCCUAAGGUAGCGAAAUUCCUUGUCGGGUAAGUUCCGACCUGCACGAAUGGCGUAAUGAUGGCCAGGCUGUCUCCACCCGAGACUCAGUGAAAUUGAACUCGCUGUGAAGAUGCAGUGUACCCGCGGCAAGACGGAAAGACCCCGUGAACCUUUACUAUAGCUUGACACUGAACAUUGAGCCUUGAUGUGUAGGAUAGGUGGGAGGCUUAGAAGUGUGGACGCCAGUCUGCAUGGAGCCGACCUUGAAAUACCACCCUUUAAUGUUUGAUGUUCUAACGUUGACCCGUAAUCCGGGUUGCGGACAGUGUCUGGUGGGUAGUUUGACUGGGGCGGUCUCCUCCUAAAGAGUAACGGAGGAGCACGAAGGUUGGCUAAUCCUGGUCGGACAUCAGGAGGUUAGUGCAAUGGCAUAAGCCAGCUUGACUGCGAGCGUGACGGCGCGAGCAGGUGCGAAAGCAGGUCAUAGUGAUCCGGUGGUUCUGAAUGGAAGGGCCAUCGCUCAACGGAUAAAAGGUACUCCGGGGAUAACAGGCUGAUACCGCCCAAGAGUUCAUAUCGACGGCGGUGUUUGGCACCUCGAUGUCGGCUCAUCACAUCCUGGGGCUGAAGUAGGUCCCAAGGGUAUGGCUGUUCGCCAUUUAAAGUGGUACGCGAGCUGGGUUUAGAACGUCGUGAGACAGUUCGGUCCCUAUCUGCCGUGGGCGCUGGAGAACUGAGGGGGGCUGCUCCUAGUACGAGAGGACCGGAGUGGACGCAUCACUGGUGUUCGGGUUGUCAUGCCAAUGGCACUGCCCGGUAGCUAAAUGCGGAAGAGAUAAGUGCUGAAAGCAUCUAAGCACGAAACUUGCCCCGAGAUGAGUUCUCCCUGACUCCUUGAGAGUCCUGAAGGAACGUUGAAGACGACGACGUUGAUAGGCCGGGUGUGUAAGCGCAGCGAUGCGUUGAGCUAACCGGUACUAAUGAACCGUGAGGCUUAACCUUACAACGCCGAAGGUGUUU